rnacentral:rRNA from 1 species
GGAAAGGCGCGCGAUACAGGGUGACAGCCCCGUACACAAAAAUGCACAUGCUGUGAGCUCGAUGAGUAGGGCGGGACACGUGGUAUCCUGUCUGAAUAUGGGGGGACCAUCCUCCAAGGCUAAAUACUCCUGACUGACCGAUAGUGAACCAGUACCGUGAGGGAAAGGCGAAAAGAACCCCGGCGAGGGGAGUGAAAAAGAACCUGAAACCGUGUACGUACAAGCAGUGGGAGCACGCUUAGGCGUGUGACUGCGUACCUUUUGUAUAAUGGGUCAGCGACUUAUAUUCUGUAGCAAGGUUAACCGAAUAGGGGAGCCGAAGGGAAACCGAGUCUUAACUGGGCGUUAAGUUGCAGGGUAUAGACCCGAAACCCGGUGAUCUAGCCAUGGGCAGGUUGAAGGUUGGGUAACACUAACUGGAGGACCGAACCGACUAAUGUUGAAAAAUUAGCGGAUGACUUGUGGCUGGGGGUGAAAGGCCAAUCAAACCGGGAGAUAGCUGGUUCUCCCCGAAAGCUAUUUAGGUAGCGCCUCGUGAAUUCAUCUCCGGGGGUAGAGCACUGUUUCGGCAAGGGGGUCAUCCCGACUUACCAACCCGAUGCAAACUGCGAAUACCGGAGAAUGUUAUCACGGGAGACACACGGCGGGUGCUAACGUCCGUCGUGAAGAGGGAAACAACCCAGACCGCCAGCUAAGGUCCCAAAGUCAUGGUUAAGUGGGAAACGAUGUGGGAAGGCCCAGACAGCCAGGAUGUUGGCUUAGAAGCAGCCAUCAUUUAAAGAAAGCGUAAUAGCUCACUGGUCGAGUCGGCCUGCGCGGAAGAUGUAACGGGGCUAAACCAUGCACCGAAGCUGCGGCAGCGACGCUGAUGCGUUGUUGGG